rnacentral:piRNA from 1 species
UGCUCAAAUAUAUCCAAUGAGUUGAGAGC